rnacentral:lncRNA from 1 species
GAAUAUUAUUGCUGAGAUUUGAUGACAGUCAACAGCAUGGCUUUCAGGAAAGGCAAGGAUAGGGUAGGGUGUGGCUGGGGCAUAAAAAUGUUAUAGAUACUGGUAGGAUAUGAGCCUGGGGAGAGCCUUGAUUAGAGAAGUAGACUUUGUUCUGCAGGUGACAGGGAGAAUGAAUGCCAGCGUAAGCUGGGAGAGGGAAUCACAUGGGAGCAGCUGAUUUCCCGAGGCUGCUCAGGAAAGCAGGAUGCAUGACCAUUAGAUGAUUGUGAUAGUUCAGGAUGAAGAGAGUGAGGGUGAGGUCAUGCCUGGGAUAGAUUUGAGAGUUUCAGAAGUCUUAUUUAGCAGGACUGGCUGACUGGCUGUGGACAGAUGGAGAAAGGGACGCCAAGCUCAUGACAGCAGUGGCUGCCAUGACUACCAGGUGCUUCCUCCACAGAAGGCACUUGUGUGCAUCACCUCAUUUAAUCCCACAUCAGCCCUGUGGGAGGGAUUGCAUUGUUGUCAGCAAUUUUUUUGUGUGGGGGUACUGGGGAUUGAACUCAGGAGCACUCAGCCACUGAGCCACAUCCCCAGCCCUAUUUUGUAUUUUAUUUAGAGACAGGAUCUCACUGAGUUGCUUAGUGCCUUGCUUUGCUGAGGGUGGCUUUGAAUUUUCAAUCCUCCUGCCUCAGCCUCCUGAGCCACUGGGCCUACAGGCCUUGCGCCACUGUGCCCAGCUUGUCUGCAUUUUAUGGGGGUGGGGGAGUUGGAGCCCAGGGUAGUCCAUCCCAAUGACCAGCUAGUAUAUGGUGGUAGUAAGUGGUGGAGUUAGGAUCUGAACUGGAGGAAAUCAACGCCCUAGCUUCUCCAUCAUCCUGGAUCACCAAUUCUAAGUGGUUGGGAAGUGAAGCACCUACCCAGAAACCAGUUAAUGAGUGGUGGAUUGAGGCCUGAAACCUGCUAGAACCACUUACUAUUCCAAAGAGUGCACAGUCAGGCUCCUGUGUGCCAUAUCAGGCCAUAGAUAUAUUGUGUUUGGCUCAUAUUUUUAAAAAUAUUUAUUUAUUUAUUUUUGGUACCAGAGACUGAACCCAGGGGACUUUUCCACUGAGUUACAUCCUAAUUCCUUUUUUUUAAUUUUAAUUUCAAGAUAAGGCCUUGCUAAGUUGCUGAGACUGGCCUUGAAUUUGUGAUCCUCCUGCCUCAGCCUCCUGAGCUGGAUUACAGGAAUGUACCACUGCACUCAACUCAAACAGUAUUUUAAUACCACUUUUAGAACUAAUUUCUAACUUUUAAAAAUGUGGAGAUUCACAUUAACAACUCAGUUUCUGGCUUUUCCUGGAAAGUGAGGAGAUCUAAAUACACUGGCACCAUGCAGCCUCCAGACAGAGCUGUCUGUCCACAUCCUUCAGAUGGGACCUGUGCUCCCUCAUCUGCCUGAAACCCACCAGCCUAUCUGGGGCCUCUGCCCACCUCCACAGGCCCACAGGUGGGCUCCACCACAAUGUGUGCUGCUCAGCUGGGAUUAGAUGCCAGGCUGUCCUUUAAUCCCUGUCAAGCCCUGGUCUUUAUAGAUGGCCAAAUGCCCUUUCCAAGUUUUAGGGAAUAUAAGGCAAAAACAACCACGGUUUUACUUUGUUUGCUUUUUACCGUCAUGCUGUGGGAAUUGAGAAAAAUUCAAUACCCACCCAUGCUUGAGUGCCCAGGGCUGGAGGAGGGUUAAAUGUGGUUCCUGCAGGACAAAGGUGAAUGGUUGUAGUUCCUGAAACCAGCACAGGUUAAAAUGCCAACAAAUAGCGCUCAGAAAAUGGCAAAAGUCAUGGCCUAUUAUUAGUAUGCAAAGUAUGCUGUGAUGUUUUUGUUUAAUUUGUAAGGAAUCAUUUGCUUGGAUUUUGAGCUAUGUACUUUGGAUGUGUUAUAAGGAAGUUUUGAGGGGGAUGUGUGUGUGUGUAUGUAUGCGUGCCCACAUGGGACAGUGCUUGUAUAUAUGGGGUCGGGGGGCCACAGCUUACAUAGCUUAGAAUUUCUUAUAGGUGCUCAGUUCCAGAAGAACUGUUCUAACAGUUCUUCUUCCUUUACAUGCACUGCACCUAGGCAUUAAAAUAAAUAUUUUAAACUAAGAAAAAUAGUAACAGGAUUUGAAACCAGAUGGCAUUAGAAGAGACAGACAGAGAGAGAGGAAAGAGGGAGAAAGAAAGAGAAAGUCC